UCAGCCGUGCGCGAUCGCUUUGCGGAUCUCAAGUUAUUUUCGCCUUUUUUCGCCUGCCUACUGUCAGGGCAAAGAGGGAAUAGAGGAUGACCCGUCUUCUCAUGAGAAAACAAUGCACGGCCGGCGAUCGCAAACAGGAGAUGAUCAGAGUAACUGGAGGAAACUUACCGAACACAGAGAGAAGCUGCAAACUUCACACGUGAAGCGGAGGCGGGAUUCGAACCCCCAACCCCGGAGGUGUGAAGCAAUAGCACCACCCACUGAACCAUUGUACAACCCAUUGAUGUGUUGCUUAAAACAAAUUCAGUUUAAAAAGGUACAGGCAUUGUAAAAAUAUCACACCAUGGCCACGCAGUUUCCAGUCACCUGAAAGUGCUCGUCUUCUAAAGCCGUGGCCAAAAAAGGUCGAUUCUCAGAGGCGACGCCUCUGCAGAGGUGGAAGGUGCAGCGUUGCAUUUCCUUAGAAUGAUACUGUGCUGUUACUCCGGACCACAAUCUUUAAUGAAAAGCCACCACAAGGCAAAAAAAACAAGCGGCGCCGCGGCAGGAAACGCGAUGCAACAUCUGCCCUGCACCUAAACAGAUGAGACAAUAAUAAUUGUUCAGCGGCCUUGUGCACAGCCGAGCGGCCUGUCGAUACUGCUGCAAAUCCACAGUCUUUGUUUUUCCUAUUGUCAUACAACUGUAACAGAUUUGUACGAAACAAGGGGGGGAAGUUUAACACUAAUAAUAUAAAAAUGCACAAGACACUGAAGUGAAUUUGGCUGGAGGGAUCGAUGUCCAGGUGUGACUGAUUAAUAGCGACUUAAUGACCUUUCUACAUAUUUUUGUACUGCCAAAUGAUCUUAUCCUAACUGAAAAGCUGCAACCGUCAGAAGAACGUUCUGGAGAGGAUACAGAGCGGCUGUUAUGGAUGCAACCGGAUGCUCCCGGACAUUUAUUGGACAGUUAUGAGGGCAUAAAGGAAUUUCUGGGCACGACUGGCACGUGGAGCUACACCAGGCUGCACUGCAUUACGUCCUGUUAGCUUUACCCUCAUUCAACUGCACGUCACACGUUAAAAAACAAAAAACAAACACACUGCCUAUUGACUGCUUUGUUUUUUGCCAUGUAUGGUUCAUCUCAGACAGGACAUGCAUAUUAUUAUUAUUAUUUUUAACUGGUUUUUAAUAAGUAACAGUCUAUGCAAAGCUUGUCUCUUGAGCCCGCCUAUUUUUUGCGUGUGUCUUUAAGGUGCCGGAACACGCUGGUCUGCAUUCCGGAAGUUUCCCAUAGCUGUCCCACUUACACUGUGGUGACAGGUGGGGCGCAGUCAGCGAGUGGCCGCUGGCCCCCGACGUCAACAUAGACACUAACUUUUCCGUUUCUGCUCUUCUGCGGAACUCGCACCCCCGGGCAGGAGCUCACCGAUCUGGCGAGUCGAGCCGCUCAGCCUGGUCUGUGGUUUCCCUGCACCCUGCGACCUAAGUGCAUCUCUCCCUUGAGUCCCCCCCCCUCCCCCCACACAUACACACACACAAAUGCAGGACCGUGUCAGUAAUGCUGUGGCGUCGUGUUUUCUACAAAUCCUGCGAAAGCGUCAGCUGGGAGAAGAACUCCUCUGAGGCAGCCCUACCAGAAAUAAUUUCCCUUCCCUAAGCUGCCUUCACUGAAACUGGCAUAUUAAUGACUGGUGGCUGUGUGAGAGAACGCAGUAAAGAGUAUAUUUCAUAAGCUCA